ACGGGAGGCAGCAGUAGGGAAUCUUCCACAAUGGACGAAAGUCUGAUGGAGCAACGCCGCGUGAGUGAUGAAGGAUUUCGGUUCGUAAAACUCUGUUGCAAGGGAAGAACAAGUAGCGUAGUAACUGGCGCUACCUUGACGGUACCUUGUUAGAAAGCCACGGCUAACUACGUGCCAGCAGCCGCGGUAAUACGUAGGUGGCAAGCGUUGUCCGGAAUUAUUGGGCGUAAAGCGCGCGCGGGUGGUUUCUUAAGUCUGAUGUGAAAGCCCCCGGCUCAACCGGGGAGGGUCAUUGGAAACUGGGAGACUUGAGUGCAGAAGAGGAAAGUGGAAUUCCAAGUGUAGCGGUGAAAUGCGUAGAGAUUUGGAGGAACACCAGUGGCGAAGGCGGCUUACUGGACUGUAACUGACGUUGAGGCUCGAAAGCGUGGGGAGCAAACAGGAUUAGAUACCCUGGUA
rnacentral:rRNA from 1 species